CGGAAAGAGGCGGUGCUUGGCGGAGAGGGACAGGACCCGUCCCCAGCCUGCGCUCCGAUUGGUCAAUCUCUCUCCCUCCUCUGCGCGGGUCCUGGUCGCCGAGGCGUCGGCCCCUCGGCCUUUCCUUCGUUUUGACGCGAGUCUCAAGCUCUAAUACCUGACUCACAAAAUGACCAUAGAAAUUAAAAAUAAGGACUAUGACUUGUUUUAUAACUAUGAAAGACAAAAUUGUGUUCUUUCCAUUACUGAACCCUUCCCAGCUAAACACGCACACACACUCCCAUCCCCAAUCUCCGGGGAGCCUCCCACGGGGGAAGCGUGGACUGUCUCUGAAAACAACAUUGUUUGCAGAUUCAAGCUUUUCACAGGAGAUGAAUCAGUUUAGGAAAGGUGAUUCCUGAAACAUGACCAACAACAAAGCUUUGGAGGAUGUAUAAUUGGAUAAUGGAGGAUGUGCAUGAGCAGAGGAGAUACACACAAUAUGCAUGUUCGCCACCAUUCCUUGAAGUCCCACUUGCAUGUGGAGUUCAGGACACCCUAUGAGCACAGACUUCUGAUGAACCUAUGAUGUGUGGAAGUUGAGCAUAACUCAAAGUACAAGAAUGUCUGGGGUCUCGUCUGGGAAGUCUGAGCUGCUAAGGAAGGACACAAAUGGCUGGUGAGGAGGGCUGGUAAGCAGUUUCUACGUGAUUGCUAAAGACAAGGAAUGGGUAGUCAUUGGAGGCCACACAAAAACUACACCCGUAAAUUAUCAAUAAUGAUGUGGGGGAAAAGCAAAGAUUGACCAUAUGUAAAAAUUGGGGCAUUUCUGAUUAUUUUCUUACUUAACGUUUUUGAAAUUCAUCUGAAUUCCAACCACCUCGUAUGCUAAAUAUGUGUCAUCUAUUUUGAAUAUGAGGAAUGCAUCAAAGUGUUUAAAGGCUUGAAUAAAAAACAAUUAGAAGUGUUAGGUGUUUAGAAUGUUUGUUUACUUAAUCAAAGAUUUCUAGUUUGUGGGAAGAAAGAAAAGGAAGUUUGUGUGAGGAUUCCAAGAAACCAUGGGAUGGAGAUUUAAGAAAAAUAGGUGAAAUAUAAUCGGUGAUAUAAAAAUAUUUUUGAUGGUAUACAGUACUGAAAAUAAAUGUUGGCAUACAUCCACAUAUAUGGAUAUUUAUUUAUAAAUUACAUACAUGG